GAGCCACCGUGGCGGAAACCGCCGUCGUCGUCGUGGAAGGACCACGAGACGUCGAGUUUGCUCAACGUGUGGUGUCGCUUUUCGAUCAUAUCAUAUUGGGAAUGAUGGAACCGAAACGAGAGCAUCGUGAAGAAAGACCUCCUGCACCGAUUAGUCAACGAUCUUUUGUAAUGGCUCCUCCCUCUCUCUCUCUCUCUCUCGUAUCAUCCUUCCAGUGCAGUGAUUAAAUUGAGAACGACACGAUACUUUUUGUCACGAUUUAAAUAAUAAAAACAUUACAUAUAAAUCGUGAUUAAAAUAUUGUACGCCAUCACGAUUGGUGUACAAGUUGGUGCAUUCAACCGGCCAAUCUACGAUUUGCUUCCUCGUUCGAAUGGGCAGGGGCCGAUAGAGAGAAGAGACGCUCGAUUCUUUACGUUUCCGCAAAUAUUGGCGACCGUGGGACGAUUCGUGGGAGGCGUGUGGAAGAGGAGAAGGCAAAGAAGGAUUUGUCGUGCCGCAAGGUCUUUUCUUGUUGACGAGUUUGACGGGUCGACGGCUACUCGCCUCAUUUUCCAUCAUCCUUGAACGUUCGCGAGCGCCAUCGCUGACAUGCAUCGACGCAGCUGGCACGAAGAAUGGCGCUAAAAAUUGAAAUUAUAGCUCGAUAUUUCCUAGAAAUGCUUUAAUAACGCCUCGACGGUUCUUGGAAGUAUCGUGGAACACCGUUAACACUCUUAAUAAUUUUAAAUUAUUCUUCGCGGCAGAAAAAGAAGAAUUAUUAAAAAGUUUCAACUAAAUAAACUAGAUCAAAAGGAUUCCUCAUAGAAUAAUAAUAUCCAAAAUUAUACUCGUAUAAUUCUCGCAACAUCUCGAUUAUGUAAAAAUUAUUCAAUUCCAACAAUCUUCUCGUCACUCUUUCCUUUUUAAACCGCAAGAGGGAAUUAUU